rnacentral:misc_RNA from 1 species
GAUGAAGAACGCAUCGAAAUGCGAUACUUGGUGUGAAUUGCAGAAUCCCGUGAACCAUCGAGUCUUUGAACGCAAGUUGCGCCCGAAGCCAUUAGGCCGAGGGCACGCCUGCCUGGGCGUCACACGUCGUUGCCCCCCCAUCUACUCCUUCGGGAUUGCGGGGGGCGGAUGAUGGCCUCUCGUGCGCCUCGUCGCGCGGUUGGCCUAAAUGCCAAGUCCUCGGCGACGCACGCCACGACAAUCGGUGGUUGCGAAACCUCGGUUGCCUGUCGUGUGCGGUCGUCGCGCAUCGAGGGCUCGAAAAAAUUGCCGGGCUUCGGCUCGACUUUCAACGCGACCCCAGGUCAGGCGGGGUUACCCGCUGAAUUUAAGCAUAUCAAUAAGCGGAGGA